rnacentral:misc_RNA from 1 species
GUUGAUUGGUUAUGCACUUUUGGAUAAGUUGUUUGAGACUUAGAUUUAUGUACAUGAAGUUUUUGUUAUAGGGCUGUGAAGUAGAACUUAAAGGGAUUUGGGAAAUUACCAAUACAAGAGGUAGCUUGUUGCGAUCCAAGGGGAAGGAAUUCGCGAUAGGAAUUUACUAAAAUUAUGGCAAAUUUCACAAACCUAUUUUCAAACUAGUAGUUAUGCCUUCCUUAAG